GAUGAACGCUAGCGGCAGGCCUAACACAUGCAAGUCGAGGGGCAUCGCGGUGCAGCAAUGCACUGGCGGCGACCGGCGUACGGGUGCGUAACGCGUAUGCAACCUGCCCCGCACCGGGGAUAGCCCGCCGAAAGGCGGAUUAAUACCCCAUGGUCCCGGGGGCCCGCAUGGGCAUCCGGGUAAAGCCUUGGCGGUGCGGGAUGGGCAUGCGUGCCAUUAGCUGGCUGGUGGGGUAACGGCCCACCAGGGCAACGAUGGCUAGGGGGUCUGAGAGGAUGGUCCCCCACACUGGUACUGAGACACGGACCAGACUCCUACGGGAGGCAGCAGUGAGGAAUAUUGGUCAAUGGGCGGAAGCCUGAACCAGCCAUGCCGCGUGCGGGAUGAAGGCCCUACGGGUUGUAAACCGCUUUUCCCCGGGAAGAAUAACCCCGAUGAGUCGGGGGAUGCCGGUACCGGGGGAAUAAGGAUCGGCUAACUCCGUG
rnacentral:rRNA from 1 species